rnacentral:rRNA from 1 species
UACGUAGGAGGCGAGCGUUGUCCGGAAUCACUGGGCGUAAAGCGCGUGUAGGCGGGAAGGCAAGUCUGCUGUGAAAGCGCCUGGCUUAACCGGGCGAGGUCGGCGGAAACUGCUUACCUGGAGGACGGUAGAGGCAGGCGGAAUUCCGGGUGUAGCGGUGGAAUGCGUAGAGAUCCGGAAGAACACCGGUGGCGAAGGCGGCCUGCUGGGCAGUGGCUGACACUGAGGCGCGACAGCGUGGGGAGCAAACAGG